rnacentral:tRNA from 1 species
AUUUAAGUAGCUUAUAUAGAGCAUGAUAUUGAAGCUAUCAGGGAAAUAUUUAUAUUCUUAAAUA